ACCCUUCAAAAAACAGGGUGCGUCGCGGCCCCCCUCCGGGGGCGGUUUGGGGUCCUCCCCUUCACGCGCGCACGACUGCAUCCUUACUUUACGAGCACCUUCUGUUCUCCCUCGGCGGGGCAACCUGCCGUUGGAACCGAAUAAACCCUUUUUUGCAUCCAGCAUUACCCGUUCCGAAACAAACGAUCGUUA
rnacentral:misc_RNA from 1 species